GUUGUCCUAACUGCUGCAGGUGAACAGUGGUACAGCUGAGGUGGACCUGAGAGUCCUGUUACCAGACAGAAGCACACUCACUGUCACCAUCAGGAGAAACAACAACACAGACCAGGUCUACGACGCUGUAGUAGACAAACUGGGACUUGAUGAGGAACUACUUCCCUACUUCGGACUGUUUGAAAUUAUGGACACAAACUUUGAGAGAAAACUGGUGCCCACAGAGUUCCCCCAUAACCUGUACAUCCAGAACUACACAGCUGCAGCCUCCACCUGCAUCGCUCUGCGCAAAUGGCUCUUCGACCUGCAGAGAGAACUGCGGCUGUCGCACCUGGACAUGGCCAACACCUUCUUCUACUGGCAGGUGGGUGCAGGUG